GGGGCGGAUCUAGGACUUUUGAAAAAGGUAGUAAUUCCCGAUAUUUUAAGAUAUGGAGAUGAGUUUAGAAAGGCGAUAAUUUCGUAAAUGAUUUUAUACUACAAAUUCUUAUAUAUUAUGAUAACAUGAUAUUUUGAUUUUUUGGCGACCCCCUGGAUUCCGUACUGCAAGAGAUAACGACGAUGCAAUUUAGUGUCUUUUAAGAAGUGAAAAU
rnacentral:lncRNA from 1 species